GGGUAUGUGGUCUAAACGGUCAAGACGCCACCCUUCUUCUGUAAGUAUACAGGAGAAGUCGCAGGUGAGGCAACGGCCUCGUUCGUGAGGAGAUGCGGGUUCGAGUCUCGCCAUAUCCA
rfam:Alternaria alternata strain SRC1lrK2f unplaced genomic scaffold CC77scaffold_1, whole genome shotgun sequence.